UCGAACGAGAAAGUGGAGCAAUCCAUGAGUAAAGUGGCGCACGGGUGAGUAACACGUGACUAACCUACCCUUGAGUGGGGGAUAACUGAGGGAAACCUUAGCUAAUACCGCAUAAUACCCACGGGUCAAAGGAGCAAUUCGCUCGAGGAGGGGGUCGCGGCCGAUUAGUUAGUUGGCGGGGUAAUGGCCCACCAAGACGAUGAUCGGUAUCCGGCCUGAGAGGGCGCACGGACACACUGGAACUGAAACACGGUCCAGACUCCUACGGGAGGCAGCAGUGGGGAAUUUUGCGCAAUGGGGGAAACCCUGACGCAGCAACGCCGCGUGGAGGAUGAAGUACUUCGGUACGUAAACUCCUUUCGAUCGGGACGAUAAUGACGGUACCGAGAGAAGAAGCCCCGGCUAACUUCGUGCCAGCAGCCGCGGUAAUACGAGGGGGGCGAGCGUUGUUCGGAAUUAUUGGGCGUAAAGGGUGCGUAGGCGGUUUGGUAAGUCUGAUGUGAAAUCUAUGGGCUCAACUCAUAGUCUGCAUCGGAAACUGCCGGGCUUGAGUGUGGGAGAGGUGAGUGGAAUUUCCGGUGUAGCGGUGAAAUGCGUAGAUAUCGGAAGGAACACCUGUGGCGAAAGCGGCUCACUGGACCACAACUGACGCUGAUGCACGAAAGCUAGGGGAGCAAACAGGAUUAGAUACCCUGGUAGUCCUAGCCCUAAACGAUGAUCGCUUGGUGUGACGGGUACCCAAU
rnacentral:rRNA from 1 species